AACGAACGCUGGCGGCAGGCCUAACACAUGCAAGUCGAACGCCCCGCAAGGGGAGUGGCAGACGGGUGAGUAACGCGUGGGAACGGUACCCUUCGGUUCGGGAAUAACUCAGGGAAACGUUAGAGCUAAUACCGGAUACGUCCGUAAGGAGAAAGAUUUAUCGCCGAAGGAUCGGCCCGCGUCGGAUUAGCUAGUUGGUGAGGUAACGGCCCACCAAGGCGACGAUCCGUAGCUGGUCUGAGAGGAUGAUCAGCCACACUGGGACUGAGACACGGCCCA
rnacentral:rRNA from 1 species